CUCCUGACUCAAGCUGAGCCAGUGAGAAUCCUACUCCAGGAAUUUUCCAGAUCUAUGGGAGGGGAGCCAAUGCUUCUAUUCCCAUCCUUCUCUGUGAGAUGUUGUGAUGGUUCAGCUAUGUCCCUGCCAUGUGCCAUAACCCUUUGGCAUCAGAAGAGACUCAAGCCACCGUCCAGCUCAGGAUAAUGCACAGGAAAAGCAUAUGGCAUUUCUCAAAGGUACCUGAUAUCCCUGGAUGGUAGGAUGUCUUCAUUCUUUCCACAGAAAGCUACUCUCCUGGUAGCAAUCAGGUCUUGUUUUAGUAGCAAAUGACUCACUUUUCUGAAAUAUCCAGGGUAAAAACGUUCCUGGCAGGGAUGGAUGAAGAUGGUUGACUCUGUCAUCAGGUAGCUGUCUCUCUUUCUAUCUCUCACCUCUGCUCUCCUGAACCUGUCAUUAUUCUCAAGGAGAUGCUUUACAGGGAAAGGCAUUGGAGUUGCUCGUGACUCAAGGCUCAUAUUUAUUGGCUGAGUAACCACAGCAAAACCCAGCCUUGCUUUUCAGGAGCUCCAAAUGAAGUUCAAAGCUCAGUGUCAUUGUCCUGCCUUGGUUUAACUAUCUAUUGCUAAGGACCAGUGGAGCAAAGUGGGAGGUUCCUCUUGCUCAAAGCUGUUUGCCUGUUCACUUCGAUGGAGCCAAGUCAUGAACUAGGGUACAAGAGUGAGUCUAAUUCAAAUAGAAAUGCAGUUUGUCUAGAGAAAAAUAAAGCUCUUUUCUCAAAAGAGGAGCUGACAGGAGGGUGAAAUACUAGGUGGGUUUUCGAACCUGUCUGUCGCCGGACACUUUUAUUCCUAACCUUCUUCCCAUUUCCCUGUGGUCAUGACUACCACACUGAUUCCCGUGCUUUACACAUUGCUGUAUUUAUCCAUAUAUCCAUCAAAGGGCAGCUUUCUGAUGUCAGCCUAAUGAGCAGCAGGGAAAUGUUUGUGGAAUGUAAUUAGAUGUGAACAGUCACACUAGACAUUUAUUUCAAGGGUACACCUGGCAUUUCCCAUGAUUGAGACUGCCACUAUGUCUCUCUUUCCCUAUGGAGGGUAGUGGGCAGAGGAGGCCUCCUUUAGCUCUGCUCCGAAUGCAGCCUGCCCACACUCCAAUAUCUUUCCCCUGCUGCCUGAUCUCUUGGGGACCCUAGCCAAGCCAGCUGAGAGCUCAUAUCCAUUUGCUACAAAUGAGAAAGCUGGCGUUUUCCUUCCGUUGGCCCGAGGCACAGUCUUCCAAUUUGAAUUGCACAUUAACAGCAUUUCUUCUGUUAGAUGUUUGAGGAUAAUCUGACUCUUCAGAUAUUUCUCAUCCUUUGGGUUUACAAGAGAAAACACAUCUGAGAGGCCUGUGUUGGAAUUUGAGACCCUUCUAGAAAGUACCUUUAACUCCAGACUGCCAAACCCAGGUUUUUCAAUUACUCCACACAAAUUAACUUCAGACUCUCUCUGCACAGGGCCAUCACAGCAGCCUGGGCUACUUUUGUCACUGGCUUCUAAACUAGCCUCCCACCAAGCAGGCCCAUUACGGAGCCUGUUUAUAACAGUGCCAUUAAAAGUGAAGAGCUGUCAAGAAUCCCUUAUAACGAUGUUGGAAACUCUGUCCGCGAAGAUUUUUUAAUGACUGGAUGGUUUUUAAAAAGGCAAUGGAACACUUUUAAUGAACUAUAAUGUAAUAAAUCAAUCACACUCCCCUGCCUUGACUGCACCAUCUUCAUAUUUAUUGCAGCUUACAGAAAACCACGGCUAAUCCUUUCCCACCCACCCCCCACACCUCUGCAGGGUUCAAGGAGACAUCGAGGAACAGCGAAUUCAUAUUUUAAGAGACACAUAUUUGCCUUCUGUCUUAUUUACCAAACUCAGUCUUCAAAGUAUCUAUGGAAUGUGGACUUUAUUUCUGGUUUGUUCUUUCAAGAGGCUCCUAUGAAGAUUUUCUGGUCACAGUCAAGAAAGCCUAACUACCAAGUUAAGAAAGGAAGAUUUACCUGCAGAAUCUCAGAAACCCAGAGAACUGAGGAAUGCUUUGAAUUUUGCCAGGGACAGAUGGAUGUUAUUUCUGCCCACAUUCCAUUGGUUGGCACUCAGUCACGUGGUCUCAGAGAAUUAAUUGCGAAGGAGAUUGGGAAGUAGAACUUCAGCCAAGAUUGUUGCUUCUCACCAACACUGUGAGCCAGGGAAGGGAGGAGCAUGAACCUUUGAAGAUUGGAAUAGCCUUCGUGGAAACAGAGGAAUUAACAGACCCAACAGGGGAGGCUGGAGAAAGUCCUUGAGCCAGGAAGAAGGAUAUGGAUGCAUGCACCCGACUUUGGGUUCAAGUCUUAGUUUUGCCUGGGCUGCAGACACAGGGGCUUUGCUUUUCUAGGACUCAGUUUCCCCUACUCUCAAAAUGAGGAGGUUAGGUGACAUGAUGUGGGCAGCUCCUUCCAGCUUUGGAACUGUUCUCUGAUUCUGAUUUCACAGGAAACUGGGUAAGUGAAGUACACUUUCCUCUCUCCUGAUUUGAGUUACAAUCGGCCACAUGAAUCUUAUUCUCUGUCUCACUUCCUGUUGCUUCUGGUUGCCAUGCCAACUCAGUAGGUUGUAGACCUUCACUAACGGUGGUACAGGUAAAGAUUCCUGUCAGGUUUGCUUGGUCCUGCCUGCCCACGGGAACCAGAAUCCUGUAGUGAGACCCGCCCUAGUCUCUCGCAGACAGGAGUGGAGGAUGACUGAAUCCAUAGAGUUUCAGCAUGCAGGAAGUUCUUCCACAUUCAUAAUUUCAACAAGAAAGUAAAAGUGUCUCUUCCACCACCACCACCACCACCACGAUCAUCACAUCUCCUAAUGAGGACACCUUUCAGCCUUCUGAGAAAUGUCAUUCCAGCAUGAACUUCGUGAUGCUUGCCUUGGUGGAGUCCAUCUCCAGCCCUAACCAAACCGGAUCCCCAGACAGCACAAACCAGAAGCAUGGAGGAGUAAAUCCAAACUAGGUUGGCUGAAAAGAGACAUGAAGGCACCCCAUCCUUCCUCCUUCAUACAGACAGUUGUAAGUACCCUGGAGAGAGCCCAUGUGGCUGAGGAAACAGCUGUUUCUUUUGAGGUCAUGGCCAGUCCAGUGGAAGUCUCUUUUACUCUGUUUCCUCAUUUUUGUCCCCAUUUCUGAUACCCAGUGUUGCAUACCCCAAGCAAAUUCCAAUGCUAUUUCCUACAGGACAGUGAUAUGUCAAUACCACUCGAUGUGGUUCCCUUGAUACUGAAUACUGUUCCUGGCCUUUAGUGAAUGCAGCUUUUUGAGACAGUCUGGCUGUAUGUUUGCACCGGCCUAGAACUCACAAUCCUCCUUUGUUAGUCCCCACCAAGUGCUGGCAUUACAUUUUUGUGCCACCUCAGCUCUCUGGGACAGUCUUUUAGAUGCCACACCUAAAGUAAACCAUUGAGUCUGAGUGAGGCUUGAGGUAACUGCUUCUAUGUUAACCCAUUUUCCAGUUCUUCAAUGACUUGUGUAGAAAGUUCCUGCUUGAAGAAUCUCUGUCUUAACUUAAUCUCCACUGCUUUAAAUAAAUUCCCCCACCCCCAUCAUGGAUGCCAGUUCUCCUGCAAAGCCAGUAUUGGAAUUCAUGAGCUCUGAGCAAUCAUUCUGUUUCAUUUCCACUGUGUUUAUUUUGUGUUCCGCUUCCCUUUGUGGUGACACUCAUUUCCCAGUAACAAGAGUAAUAUCCAUCUUUCCUUUAAAUAAAUUUAACUGUAAAAAUAAGUCAAUUAAAAUUUAAUAAGGACCUUACAUAACUACAGAACACUUAAUUAACCUUGGUGUGAUACUGUUAACAGGAGUUUAGAGUGGAUUUAUGUGAGGUUCUAACACAGGGUAGAUAAAGGAUGUGUGCAACUAUCUUGGAAACUCUUCCAAAAGUUUCAGAUUAUCUCAACUGAAAACACAAUGGCUGGGCUGGGUAUGGUAGAGCACAGUGGGGCAUGCCUUUGUUUACGUCACUUGGGAGGCAAAAGAAAAGCCAAACUCCUCGGUAUAGAAUUUCUAGGCCAACUUACCAGGUUUGGUGAGACCCUGUUUCAACAACAGCAACAGCAGCAGCAGUAACAACAACAACAAGAACAACAGCAGCAGCAACAGCAGCAACAACAACAGCAGCAACAACAGCAACAGCAACAGCAACAACAACAACAACAACAGCAACAGCAACAGCAAAAACAACAGCAGCAGCAACAGCAACAGCAAAAACAACAGCAACAACAACAGCAACAACAGCAACAGCAAAAACAACAGCAGCAGCAACAGCAGCAACAACAACAAUAGCAACAACAACAACAGCAACAAUAGCAACAGCAACAGCAGCAACAACAGCAACAGCAAAAACAACAGCAGCAGCAACAGCAGCAACAACAACAAUAGCAACAACAACAACAGCAACAACAGCAACAACAACAGCAGCAACAACAGCAACAGCAACAGCAACAGCAACAGCAAAAACAACAGCAACAGCAACAGCAACAGCAAAAACAACAGCAACAGCAACAGCAAAAACAACAGCAACAGCAACAGCAACAACAACAACAACAACAACAACAGCAGCAGCAGCAGCAGCAUGCUGGAAGGUAACAAAAGGCCCCCCUCUGAGCUUUAAAACCCUCUUUGCUCUUUGUGAACCCAUCCCUGACUUCCCCACAUGUCCACUUCCUCCUCUGGGCUUAGUCCUGCAGCAGAUCUUUGCCAAUGUGUUUUACAUAGUAAAGAAAGAGGUUUCCAUUUGCUGCUCUUCAAAAGUGUGGGUUCUGCAAGAAACAAUAUGAAUGGCCAAGAAAGAAAUGAACCAGUCAACCUGCCACCCCCACACGCUUCCUCCUCCAAAGCUUCUCUGAGGCUGGUUUGGUUGCUGGUGUGGCUUCAAUCUUGUCAUCUGUCAGUCCACAGUCCAUCCUGAGCCUCCAUUUUCGCUCCAUAUCUCCAGGAUUCACCCCAAAGGGAAGCCAUUUAUGCCUCCAGAAGCUAACUGGUAGCCCCAGGCUCCUUCUAUAACCUGGAUGGCAUCUUCAGAAUCCCCUCCUUGGCAGCUUGCUCUUCCUGGACUCAUCUUAUCCAUCAAUGUCUGUCAUUUCCCCAGAGCCUUUCUCUGUGGCUUUCAUCUUCUCUGGUAGCCCAUCAUUUCUCCAUUUUCUUUGUCUUCCAUACUUCCUUCACUCCAGAAUUUUAUCCCAUGCUUGCUUCUAUCAUGUCCACUGGGAUUUUUUUUUCAGAUUACCCACUAUCCUUAAAACUCAAUGUUUAAAAUCUGUCUUCUGUAAUUCAUGGAGGGAGGGGUCUCCAGGCCUAGGAAAUACCAUCACAGAGAACUCCUCCUAACACCUCUUUCCCCGACACUUACACCUUCAACCACAAGCAGAUUUCCUCUUCAUGAUUUUGGCUUUGUUUAUGGGACAAAGAGACUAGAAAUAAAGGACAUUUUACCUCCCUUUCUUUAAAGGCAACACCCCACAGCAGCCCUAGAACUAUUUAUAGAGAGAGGGCCUGGGCAGUCUCAGGAGUCAGGGUGGGCUUCACCAGAUUCUAGGCUCAGUGGACUAGCAGAGAAAGAGUCAGUGGAUCUGUAGCAUUUGACUCUUCCCUAAACUCUAGGUUCUAAGAGGACUGAGUAUUGAUGCUUUGCAGGAGACAGAUACAUUCAUGAGAGCCUCUGAUGCAAAACACCCAGUGCACGGUCUCCAACUCUUUCUUUUAAAAAGAAAGAAAGAAAUGCAGAGCCAAAGAGGAGUGAGGGAAAAGAAGGAGAGGGGAGAGGAGGAUAGAGAGGAGGGAAGGAAGGAAAGCAGAGAGCUCAGGAAUGGCUUUAGUCAUUGUUCCAUCUACGAAGGGUGAGUCUAGCCCUAGCUUGUGACCUUAUGGAAUUCUUCCAUUACUUCUAACCUUCCAUGGAACAGCCUCUACAUCCAAGAUGAAAUGGCUUCGGUUGCAUUUGUUGAGACCUCUAUGGGAGUUAGGAUAACAACUUUGAGCUCUAGGUUGUGAAAGGCUCAGGCUUUCUUGCCCUUGAAGUGAUGGCCAUCCCUGCCCAAGAGUCUGGAAAGAAUGGAGCCAGUUUUUUUCUUUUUCUGUAUCUCCUUUUGGUGAAGCCCCGACCCCUUUCCGACUUCUUCCUGGAAGAAGCCAUGUUGGAAUGUUUAGUUCUCAUCACUUCUUCUGAGAAAGAUCAAGCCCUGGCCUCUGCACACAUCACCUGCUUUCCUGGCAGGAAUAUUGUGUCUUCUGUCAGCAUUGCCUCCGAACUGGGCAGAGAUGCACAUCAUCGAUGCUCAAUAAUGACUAUUUAUUGUUAAUGAAGACUGUUGUGGGAGGGAGGUAGAAAGCAGAAGAUGGCAGGCAGAAGAAGAUAAUGAGUGCACUGACUAGUUUCACAUCAGUCUAACACCAGGUAUGAGUCAUUUUGGUAGAGGGAUCUCAAUUGAGUUGACAGUAAGGAGAGGAUGCUUUUGUUUUCCUACUAGUCCAUAGGCUUCUCCAGUAUAGUGCGUCUCCAGCAUUUCCCAGUAGGAUGCUGGACACAUGUCAGUACUACAAAGGCUUGACCCCUACAUUUGAGUUUUGAUUCCUUGAAGAAGGAUAUGAAAAAUUCAGUAUAGAAGGGGCUUAGAAAAAGCAGGUCAACUUCCCUGGAAGUGUGGGUGUAGUGGAUGCCGGUUACCAACCCAUCAUGUGCAAAAUACAGGCUGUUGAACAGCUUGAAGAAGGUAGGGAGAGGAUCAUUGCUCCUUGGCUUCCCUGAGUGAGAGAUUCUAUUCACCAGGAUGGUUCACUAUGAGUAGGCCUAUUCUAUUUGCUGAGCAACAGGCUGAAUUUCCUCAGGGCUGGGUCCUGAUGCCUGCAGCUCUGCCUGGCUCUUGCAGAUCUCUCAAGGUGUUUGAUUUCUCCCUGGACUCCAAGUUCUACGAGGACUGCUAGUUGAUGCAUCACUGUGCUCAAACUGAUCACUGUCUUCAUUUUUAAAAGAAAGGAGAAAAUUUGGUUUCCGUCCUGAAUGCACUGGGUUUGAAACCCAGAGGUCACUUUCUCUUUCUUUGGAGCACUCUUUCACUCUCUUAAAUAAAAAGAAAGGCUAUAUUUUUCCAUGGAUUAAGUCCAACACAGAGACCACUGCCAGUGUGGAAACAAUGGAAUUUAUCUCCACUGAUAUAGCUUGACACAGGGACAAGUGCCUGAAUUGUUGCCAUAGCAAUAAAUGUGUCGGACUUAUGCAUGCGUUUUUCUGCUAUAGGAUUUUGAUUAAUGGCAUUGACUAAAUGGUGUGAAGGGGAGAGGCGAGCAGAAGGCUGGAGGAGAGAGAGCUGGCUGCCCAGGCUUUGCUGUAGCCCACGAUGGAGGGUGUCAAGUAGGCUUGGCUAGAAACUAGUUAAGCCCAGCUAGAAUCUUUUUCAGGCAACAGCAGCAUCUGCAUGGUGGCAGCAGGGCCUUCAGUGCCUUGAGGUGGUUUAGGGUUUAAGGUCCUGAGGCCAGAGUGGAACUGGGGCCACACCCAGAGAAAGCUCACAUUUAUCUGGUUCUUUCUAAGCACAAAUACUGAUCUAAGGAUUUUAUGUGCCUGAAUUUAUCUAAUUCUUACACAGACCCUAUGCAUUGACUAUUACUACUCUUCUAAUAAGGCACAAAGAAAGUAAUUAAUUGGCAGAAUAUCCUAGAGGUUGAGGGAGGAACAUUCAAACCCAGGCUGUUUGGUUCUAGACCCUAUACUUACCUGCUUAUGCUGGCCAGUGUAUGUUAAUUUGACCUAAGCUAGAAUCAUCUGAUAGGUGAGAACUUCUAUUGAGAAAAUGCUUUCGUAAGAUAUGGCUAUAGAACAUUUUCUUAAUUAGUGUUUGAUGGGGGUGGAGGUAACCCACUAUGUUGGUGCUGUCCUGAUCCUGGGUCCUAUAAUAAAGCAGGCUGAGCAAGCCAUGAUGAGCAAGCCAAAAAGCAGCACCCCACCAUGACCUCUGUAUCAGUUCCUGCCUUCAGGUUCCUACCCUGCUUGAGUUCCUGUCCUGACUUCCUUCAGUGAUAGAAAUAUAAGCCAAAUGAAUCCUUUCCUCCCCAACUUGCUUUGGUCUUGGUGUUUGGUACAGUGAGAGUAACUCUAGCUAAGAUACCAUUGCUCUGUGAACCAGCCUAACAAGGCAGCAAUGCUGGAGGGGCUGCAGGUAGGAGAAAGGAGAGAAUAGUGAAAACAGCUGGAAGGUCUCUGAGCUCUCUGCCAGGAGGGGUACAAACCUGGCAGUGUCUGCUGUCUCUUUGUGUGUACACUAGAGACAGAGAAGAGAGAAUGUUGGAAGUCAGGCCUGGGAGCUAGAAAGUCCUGACUUGAGGCUCAGUGGCUUUGAUAUGACCUUAGGCUGCUCAGUUAAGCUCUCUAGACCCCUAUUUCCUUAUCAGUGAAGCACCAGAACCCCCUAGCCUAAGGUUGGGGAUAUUGAGUACACAGUCUACAGUAAACAUGGGCAAGCAGGCAUUGAAUCCUCAAAUGAAGAUUGGUUUAGUUUUCUCCCCUGCUUCCCCAUCACAGUGCUAGGCAUGGGAUCCAGGGCCUGCACAUGCAAGCCAAGAGCUCUACCACUGACCCACACUCCAGACCAAGCUAAUUCUUAAAAACACUCAUUUUCGUUGGCUUGGUUGUUCAGAAAUCCCUUCUGGCUUGCACACUUGGGCUAUGUGAGGAAUCUUCUUUCACUUUACCACUCUGCUAGUUCCCAUCUUCCUCCUCCUAAUUCUUACAUGACAGCUGCUUGCCCGCGUACCCUGCCUUCAUUUUUAUCCUCUUCAGUUGUUCGGUGUUUCCCUUCACUGUGCCUUCUAUUGCUCACUGCCCUGAAAAGGCGACUAAUUUUAGUUUAUUUUUUUUUACAACUAGCCUGAUUUCACAGCUUCUGUGUUGUUCUUAUUUUUGAAAUCACCACACAGAAUUUGUUUCUAACUAGUAUUUUCUUUCCAUCUUUCAGCACAAGAAAAGGCUGCUUUUCCAAUAUGUCCCUGUCUUCAGGGUGCUGGGGUCACUGGUCUGAAUCGUGUGGUCACUCAGUCGCUAUUCUACAUCAUUUACUGUCUGUUGCUACCACUGAUGAUUUCAGAUGGCCAUGAGAGUACAGAGCUUAGUGACAGAGGUCAUAGAAUUUUCAACAAGUGGUCACAUUGACCUCUUUGCCAAGGCAAUGUUUGAGCAGGUGCCUGAAGUAAGUCAAGAGUGGGAGACAGGGCAGGGGGCAGGGGUAGGGAGGGAUAGGCAGACAGCAGCCAGUGCAAGAGCCCUGCACCAUCUGCAGUAGCAAACCUGUCUGCUGUGGAACAUAGCUUCAGUGUGGAACCUUAGGGAGAUUGCUGUCAUCUGGGAACAUCUUUCAUCCCAAGGACCCGAGUUUGUUAGAAUUUGAUCUAAUUCCUAGAAAGAAAGUGAUUUCCUGUGGGUUUGGGGGUGGGGGGAACAUUUGGAUGACCCAUGAGAGGCUCCUGUUUGCACUGUAACAGAAAUCCUGUAAAUUUAGGCAUGUGGAGGCCCUGGUGUGGUUUGAGUUUAGGCAUAUGGAGGCCCUGGUAUGGUUUCAGGGUGCUGCAGUAUGGCAGCGGUGUGUUUAAGCAGGCUAACUAUCACUGAGUCCAGGAGGCCAGGCAUUAUGAAAACAAAGCAUUAGAGUCUGGUCUGUGGCUUUCAGUGCUCUCUCUCAUCAUGGUGCUCUGUCCUGAGCAGCCUAGACAGGACCCCAGUGUCCUCUGUGUUUGCAGACAGUGAAACCUGACAGUCUCAGUGAUAUCUCCUUAGAAUGUUUCAGAUUGAACUGCUUGAGAUCACCUGUAGGCAAGCUUUUAACCUAAUAAUGACAGAAUUCAGAGCAGUACUUUGAAUUAAACAAAACCCUGCACAGUGCACCUUUUCUGGGAAGACUGUUGCUGGGGAAAGGUUAUGGUUUUUGUUUCGUUUCAUUUUCGUUUUUGUUUUUAGUUGUCUAUGAACACAUAAACCCUAGCAUACCUUCCGCUUUUUGUGUACUAGAUUUUUUACAGUGGCAUCCUUCCGUGAUCAUCAGUGGGAACAUUCUCCAGCCCUCGUCUAAUGUAUUUUCAACUGCAGGGACUGUGAGGCAGCCGAAUGUUGGCAGACGGAUCCCACUAGACACACCAGGGAAGCACAGCAUCCUCUGUACUCUGCGUUAAACCUGCUCUAUUCAUGUUCUCUCUCCUCCCAGAAGGCUUAUCACUCCCCAGACUGUUUUUGAUUCAUAGCUUGUUGGUUCCAAAGGGCUGAUGCAUAUAUCCCCAGUCCCUGACAUCAGAUUUGGUCAUGUGACAUACUUAAUUUAAUCCAGUGCAAUGUGAUCUUUGAAACCCAUGAGCAGAUGAUUGAAAAGUCCCCAACAUUCUUUUUGUGUGUGUGGGUGCUAACCUUGAGUUGUUAGUUCUCUGUGUUUAACACGGAAUGCCCAUUGAAGCCAAUAAUUUAGGAAAGAACCAUCGGUGGGGAGAGAGAACCAUUGCUUUAAGGAAAAGUGAAUGUUACAGCAUUAGUAAUAGGAAAACUAUGAGUACCAUGAUGGUUAUAGGGUAACCAAUUGGUUCCUAAUUGAAUAUAAGACUUGCUCCAUAGAAGAGACUUCAUGCCUGGUGCUGUGAACCUAAUCAAAAGCCUAUAACUAGGGAGACCAUAGGACCAAGGGGGAGAAUCUACUAUAUCAUUGUUGCUUUGCUAAAUGGUUACAGUGGCAAACCGUACUCUAAAUACUUAUGUUAAAGCCAUGGACUUUAUGUUGCUCCCAACAUUAGUUAGAGAAGCUUCUUUAUACAGCGGCGUGAUUAAUGAAAAGACUCAGAACUGGUCACAACGCUGAGAAAAACGUGACCAUGAAUGUUCAUCUCUAAACGGGACUUCCGCAUAGAGUUCCUUCCCUCCCCAAGACUCAGAGGGCAACAGGAAACAAUGUGUCAGAAAGAACAUACGGGCUGGGGGACAGAAAAGAGUGUUGAGAACCACUGUCUUUUGUAUGUGACAUAGUGGUUGCAACCAUGUGUAAACAGUGUGGUGGUUACCUGCCCACGAUGGAUCCAUUCAAAAGUCCACCAUGGAUGGGGGAGGAACUCAUGAGAGCCCGCCUCUAGCUGAGAACUUUUGGCCUUAUGGCUGCUAAGGAAAGAAGAGCAACAUUUCUGUGGGUGAGGAGUAACCAUCCAUAGGUUGCCCAUGAUCCAGUGGACGGCCCUGUAUAUGUGCAUGGGCAUCACUAAUUGUAUUCAAUGGGUUAUUAAAAAAUAACAUGCUAUGAAUUUGAGAGGGGGGUCAUAUUGAUGGGCUCUGAAGGAGGUUGGAGUGCGAAAGUGGUACUCUCCCUUAAAGCAAUGGUUCUCUUGUAAAGCAAAGGUCUCUCUCCUUACUGAUGGUUCUUUUCUAAAUUCUUGGAUUCAAUGGGCAUUUUGUGUUAAAAACAGAGAAUUAAAAUGUAUUUUACAUAUGUUACUAAAAAGUCACUGCUCACUAAUAGGGGUUUUUCCCUAUGAGACCUAGACUUGUGAUGUGAGGAGCUCAAGUCUAACACCUUGGCUUUACUGAUGAGACAUACAGCAGAGGUGAGAAAUAAACUUUUGGAAACA